ACAAUGAUACUUCCCUAGGGGGCUGGCGUAGUACCCGGCAGAGGUGAAAUUCCUAUGA
rnacentral:ncRNA from 1 species